GACGAACGCUGGCGGCGUGCUUAACACAUGCAAGUCGAACGGAAAGGCCCUGCUUUUGUGGGGUUCUCGAGUGGCGAACGGGUGAGUAACACGUGAGUAACCUGCCCUUGACUUUGGGAUAACUUCAGGAAACUGGGGCUAAUACCGGAUAGGAUCUCCUGCUGCAUGGUGUGGGUUGGAAAGUUUCGGCGGUUCGGGAUGGACUCGCGGCUUAUCCGCUUGUUGGUGGGGUAGUGGCUUACCAAGGCUUUGACGGGUAGCCGGCCUGGGAGGGUGACCGGGCACAUUGGGACUGAGAUACGGCCCAGAAUCCUACGGGAGGCAGCAGUGGGGAAUAUUGCACAAUGGGCGGAAGUCUGAUGCAGCAACGCCGGGUGCGUGAUGACGGCCUUCGGGUUGUAAACCGCUUUCGCCUGUGACGAAGCGUGAGUGACGGUAAUGGGUAAAGAAGCACCGGCUAACUACGUG
rnacentral:rRNA from 1 species